rnacentral:tRNA from 1 species
AGUAAAGUCAGCUAAAUAAAGCUAUCGGGCCCAUACCCCGAAAAUGUCCUAAGGCCUUUACUA